UACAGUGUAGUAUAGUGGUUUGACUGUUAGAUUACAACUCUGGGGACCAGGGUUCGAUUCCCAGCUUGGCCA